UCGAUAAAAUAAAACUCACAAUUAACGUAAAAAUUAUGAAACGUUUGCACUAAAUAUAUAAAGUAUUUAUACUUUUGUGAUCUAAUUCUGAAUUCCACAAGGAAUGCAAUUGCAGGGCAAUUUACAAGCCCACUUAUAAAUUAGGAUUGUUUGCGUGUAAAUACACGAACUUUCAGCAUUUUUUAUUUUUUUUUCAUAAUUUUUUUUUCUUUCUGAAUUUAAAUUCAAGACCUUGUGCUCAUUUGAUUUUUUCAUAAAACUUAUUUUUUUUCCAAAUUUAUGUCGACGUGGAAUGAUCGGCUAGCGAUACCUUAA
rnacentral:lncRNA from 1 species